GAGAGCGUCUGUGAGCCAAGUUCACCAGUGUUAGGUUUUAAGAUUGUAUUAUUGUUGAAGAUUGUGGUGGGAGAGAAAUUGUAAGGAAUAAUUUAUUAAAAAGGCCUCAAGGUGUUGGGAGACUUGCUAUUAUUGUUGUAUUUAUGUGCCACGUGGUACACCCCUAUUGGAGCUCAAUAGGUGGCUUGUAAGGGCUCGGGCUAAUCUACCUUUGGCCGGGUAAUUUAGCACCGAGUGAGGGCUACGGCUCAAGGUUAAUAGAGGGAUAUAAGGAUGGUUAUUUGUGUGUAUUGUAAUAUUUCUUAUAUUUGUUGGAAUUAUAUUAUUUUUAAUUCUCACUUAGUAAACACACACUUAACUGUUUGUAUACACUAUCAUAAAAUGGCUUUGGUUAUUGGGACUUUUGAGUCUCAUUAUGUGGUUAACAAUUUUCGGGAGAAGAGCCACGAGUGACACGUGGAGGAGUCCCAGAGACUUAGUGGUAUAGAUCCACUGUCUCUUUUGAGUAUUUAAUUUAUGAUUUAUAAUGUGUUAUAUUGUCAAUAUUAGGGCUUUUUGUUUAUUGUCAAUUAUAUGAAUAUAUAAAUGUAAUCAUGCCUUUCAAACUAUUUCUAUUUUUGGUACAAUUUGGAUGACUGUAAUUUUAAUAUUAGGUUUACUUUGGAUUGAUUAAAAUGGCAUGAUUAUAAGGUCAACUAAUUGGCUUGUGUUGAAAAUUGACUAAAUUGCUUAUUUUACUUGUUGGGAGUAUAAGGAUGGACAAAUGUGAUUUAGUUUACUUGUUGGGAGUAUAAGGAUGGACAAAUGUGAUUUAGCCUAAUGGCAUGUGGGAGGUAAAAAUUUAUCUGAAAUGUUAUAGUGUGUGAGUUGAAGCCAAUUAUAAAAUAUUUUAUAUUAAAAUUAUUGAUAUAAAAAUGUGUUGGGUGGCUGUAACUCAACUAUGAUUGAGUUAAAUUAUUUUAAAAAAAAAUUUUGAUGUGUUACAUGAAACUCAUUUGGUAUGACUCAAGUUUUUUUUAAUUAGAAUUGAGGUAUAAAAAUAUCUUUGAUUUGACUUAGAAUAUUGUAUAAUUUUUAAUUUUAAUUUGUAUAUGUAUUUAUAAUAUGAAAAGACUAUCGCUAAUAAAUUUAAAAAUAACAACAUUGUGAAUGAUAGUGAAAAGGGGGAGGGCAAUUCCACUGUGAUAGAUAAUGAGAAUCAGAUUUGAGAUAUUUUAGUUGAAUUAAAUUCCAUGAGAAAUUUAAAUUGAUGCAUACUAAACUACUCAAAGCUUGAUUCAAAUUUCAUUUUCAUUUUUUUAGAGCCGAACUUCAAUAUAUCAAUCAGGUUUUUAGAGUGUUUUUAAAUUUUAUUGAGGGUUUGUAUAAUAUCUUGAAUUUUUAAGACAAAAAUUUCCUAGCUUUCAAGGUAACCAUAUAAAUAAGAAAUCUCAUCAUAUGUUAUUAAAAGCCAUCGUAUCAUUAUAUAAUCAAAGAAGCUAACUGAUAUGUAGAUUUAUGGGUGAAAGUUACCCAUGACAUGGUUCCCUCUUCAUAGUACAAGGAUCUUGUGUAGCUUGAUUUAACCAGGGACUUGUUAUUAUCCAAGGCUCUACUUUUCCUUGUAUUAAAAAUAAAAAACGUUUUUUUCCCCCUUUUGAUGAAUUUUUUCAAGUGUGGGUGUUCUUCCUUUGCAAGUUUAAAUUAACAAAUUAAAAUACCACUUGUAUCACUACACAAAUAAAAUAAAACAUCAGAGGUCAAUUUGUAAUGUAUUUUGUAUUGUGGCAGUAGAUAGGUCAUUAGUACUGCCUCGAUAAUAGGAUUCACUGUUUUCUCUUGUAAUAUAUUUUAUUUUCCCCCUAACUCAAAAUACUUAAGCAGUGUGAUUCGCAAAAGGCUCUGCUUUG